rnacentral:rRNA from 1 species
CACGUAGUUAGCCGUCCCUUUCUGGUAAGCUACCGUCACAGUGUGAACUUUCCACUCUCACACCCGUUCUUGGCUUACAACAGAGCUUUACGAUCCGAAAACCUUCUUCACUCACGCGGCGUUGCUCGGUCAGGGUUGCCCCCAUUGCCGAAGAUUCCCUACUGCUGCCUCCCGUAGGAGUCUGGGCCGUGUCUCAGUCCCAGUGUGGCCGAUCACCCUCUCAGGUCGGCUAUGUAUCGUCGCCUAGGUGAGCCAUUACCUCACCUACUAGCUAAUACAACGCAGGUCCAUCUUGUAGUGGAGCAAUUGCCCCUUUCAAAUAAAUGACAUGUGUCAUCCAUUGUUAUGCGGUUAUUAGCUAAUUCGUUUACCAAUAGUUACUCCCCCGUGUACCAAGGCUAGGUUACCUACGCCGUUUACUCCGAACCCGUUCGACCUAACUCACUACCCGAAGAAACGAGACCAAA